rnacentral:sRNA from 1 species
UGUCAUGACGGGGGGAACGAAGGGUGUUU